rnacentral:lncRNA from 1 species
UUCACAUAAGCUGCUCAGUGAGACAAACCAUGAGUGUCCAUACUGUCUCUUACAGUGGCUGUAGGAAAUGCCAAUGGGAGAAAGCAGAAGAGACCAGUUCCCUACUGUCCACAAGACUUGGUUAAAAGAUGUCAGAAGCACUUUUCUUGUAAAUGAUCUGCAUUUUGCUGGCUUCAUUAUGGGCGGCUUAUACUGAACACUAUGACAAUGAUUUUUGUAAACUGACUGCAAUGUUUCCAAGAAC